UCGGUGUGUAUGUGUUGUGUUUUUCUCUGUUGUGUUUUUUCUUUGAAUCAAUACAAUUUUGUAAUUACAAAAUAUACCACAGUCAAAUUAUCUUUGAAUACAAACAAGACUUUAUUGCUAAUCUAAACAUAAAACUAAUCUAACACAUACAAACAUGAAACAGGUUGGUGACUAAAGUGAACAAAGUGACGAGUAGAAAUGAUCUAUACAGAGAAAAGGAACUUUAUGGAGUCUGUAGACAAUGCCUUAAGAACCAUUGAUACUUUGGGUAAUCUGAUUGCAAAUCGAUUUAGACUCUAAGUAUUUAAAUAAUACACCAGCACUUUCAGCAAAAGUCUGGAGAUAUAUUUGUGUGUCGUUGCGAAGAAGAAGAGAGAGCAUUCUUCCUUGGUACCAGAGCUUUGCGUUGAGAGUGGCAGAACCCCAAAGGUGUCCUGAGCCAAUCAGAAGUGACUUUUCGGAGUCACAUGGUCAACCACCUCCUUCCUUUUCAAAGUUGAUUUACAAUCCUUUGUGUAAAGGAUUCUUAAAAAUUCCCAAUCAAAAUGGUACAUGUUUUAACCAUACAUUUCAUAUCUUGGAUACAACUGAAUAUACCAAAAAAUUAAUUAAAAUAAACAUUCCUGAAAUGGAGAAAGAAUCCUAACGAUAGUAAACAUGAUGUGCUUUAUCAUGAAUAGUUACCAUUCUUAGUAAAAUUACAUGAAUAACAUAAGAUUAAAGAUUAUAAUCAUCAAUUUGUCAGUUAUAAGUGAUUACAAAUCACUGCACAUAUUUUAAAGGGUACAUACAUUCAUUCAUUUGUCAGUUAUAAAAGUGAUCACAGGUCAUAACAUCAUUUUCAGAAUUAUCUAGCAAGGCUAGGUAUUGUGUAUUUCAGUACAAGGGUGAUUCCAUGCAUUUUAUAGGGUUAACUUAGCAAAGUACUGUGACUUUGUGUGAAAUGUUCCUGGAUUAAGAUGAGAUGUCUUAGUAUUAGAAUCGUGCAAACACGAGGGUCUCAUAAGGAAACCUGCUUUAGCUCUGUGUGGAAGUUCAGAAGGUCAUGCUGAGUCUGCCCUAUGUCACUGUCCCAUGGGUUGAGGGGCCUCUCUGACCAAUGGCCCUUUUGUUUUAAAUCAUGCUGUUUUAGCAGAAUGGUUAGUCUCCUUGACCAUUUUAUCAUCCAAAGUCAGGUCUCAACCAAAGGCCUUGGCGCCUAGCAGAGCAGAAUCUUUUAAUUUAUGACAUUGAGGAAUUCCAGGGGUCUCUGUCAGCCUUAGUUUUGUGACAGUUACAUUUUAGGCAGAUGCAACAAACUUCUCAUUUAGCUGGGCCAUGCCAGACUUUAGGGAGCCAUUUUGGCAGCUCUUAGUUUUAUGGCUUUGAGGAAUUUCCAGUGUUAUAGGCCAUCUUGCUGAAAUUCUGUUUUAAUUCUUCUUAAUUUCCUUCUGCUGGGAUAAUCCGAUCCUUCAGCGCAAAGCGCAGUGCUAUGUGCAACGACCGUGUGCAACGUCUUAUCCAAUUUUUGUGAGAGCACUAAUUCAAAUCGCAAUUUUCGUUUUUGUUUCCACCUGUUGUCACAGAGUGAUUUUUAUGUCACUGCAAUACAGACCAGUGGAAGAAGUUGGAGACAGUAAAAUGUUUGGAAUUGGUAGGAUAUGAUUUUCUGACCACUUAGUUAUUUCGAUUAUAUUUUUGUUUCAUUUGAAGUGUACAUUGUUAGCCCAGAUUUAAUAUCUAAUUAAACCAUUUAAUUACAAUAUACUUAAAUGAUUUAAGUUUAAUUGCAUCACUAUAACGUGUAAGUAUAUUCUACUAAUUUGUAGACAUAUUUGAAUGUGUGAAUAACUAAGUUAAAUGGCUUAAAAUUAUUACGUUUUUGUCCUGACCACACCUCCGCCACUUGAAAAAAGGGAAGUCACAUAUGUCAUGUCUCAUAAUAAUGAGAAUAUAUCUCAUAAUUAUGAUGUUGUAUCUCAUAGUUAUGAUUUUGUAUCUCAUAAGUAUAAGAUACUAUGUCAUAAUUAUGACUUAUUAUGUCAUAAUGACUUAAUAUUUCAUAAUAAUGAGAACAUUUCCCAUAAUUAAGACUUAUACUUAUGUUCAGUCAUUAUAAGAUCAUAGAAAGUCAUAAUUAUGAGAUUUCUAUGAGAAUUAUGUAAUUAUUAUGAAAACCUAAGUCAUUAUUAUGAGAUAUGUUCUCAUUAUUAUGGCAUACUAUGUAAUUUUUUUUUAAGUGGCAGAAAUGGGUUUCCGUAUGUUUUGGCCAUCACUUCUAAAUAUUUCAAAUUCAUUUCUGAGAAAUCACAUUUUUCUGUCGAUUCUGUAUGUCUAAUGGCACAGUACCCAUGAGCCUCUGCAUAUGUUACUAUGGAGACGACUCUGGCAGGAUCAGCAAAAUAUAUUCAAAUAUAUUCAGUAUUAUAUUAGAAUGUUGUCAAAGGUGGCGGCUGCAUCUUUUAACAGAAUACAGCAAUUGGCAGUUUCUUGAGGCAAUGCACGAUGGGAACGUGAAUGCACACCUGGCCUUUAGAUACCUCGCCAGCCCAUCCCCCACACUAAUGUCUCUGACACUGGUCAGCUGUUGCGGAGUCAGGCAAAGUCAUUUUCUCGUGGUUGCAAAAGUGUGUGCGAAUUUGAUGAGCUGUUGGUGAGAAGUUGGAAAAUUUGUUUUAACCAGUUUGACAGACAUUUUUUUGCUUGUUACAUUUUUAUAAUUUAUUAAUUAUAAUAAUUGUAUUUAUUUAUCACAUGUUAUACAUUUGCACAUAUAUAGUGACAUUUUUUUUUUUUUUCACAUAUCCCAGCUAAGCUUGGGUCAGAGUGCAGGGUCAGCCAUGAUACAGCACCCCUGGAGCAGAUAAGGUCAAGGGCCUUGCUCAAGGGCCCAACAGUGGCAUCUUGGCAGUGCUGGGGCUUGAACCCCUGACAUUCUGAUCAAUAACCCAGAGCCUUAACCACUGAGCCACCACUGCCCCGUGAGCAUUUUUGUGAGCUGUUUGUGAGCAGUGAAAAACGUUGUUUUAAAUAGUUCGACUACUUUUCUCACUCGCAUGUGGCAGACACCACCGUGCUUGAACCCCCAACCGGUGAGUUCGACAGACAUUUUUUCGUCUGUUAGGGAAAUUUUUCAUUUAUUAGCUAGAUACUUUCCAUACUCGUGUGCUUAAACUCCCACUUGGCGACGCAUGAGGUGCCGCACACUGCUUUCAGCUGAGGAGAGAGGAGGGCGACAGGACGAGUGCUGAACCAUGGUCUACUGAAUCUGGUCACAGGAAGAGAUGUUUUGGAAGUGUUUAUUACGAGUUCAACAGAGUGGUGGGGAAACAUCUCAGAGAAAACUUAUUUGAUGCUCUUGACCAUUUCUCUCCAAGCCUGAUAGACCUCUUCAGGAAGAAGAAAGGCCUCACCGCCCAGCUUUUGGCUGAGCUUUUAUGUCAGACAAAGACCACUGAGCCAACAGACAUUAGGUGCCUUUGUCUUCGGGGACUGCCGGUCAUUUUGGGGGAUGAUCCUUCUGCCUUCUUCAAGAACUGCUUCGAAAGUAUUUAAUUUGGUGUAAAUGUUGCAUGUACAUAGUUAUUUUUUUUAUUUUAAGCCAUUAAUGAAGACUGUCUGCUACUGAUUUUCAGAAUCAUUUAAUCAGCAUUCAGUAUUUCCCAGACUUUUAUUUUAUGGCCAAGCAAAUUUUAACUAAAAACAUUUUUGAAUAUCUGUAUUACUGAUUUAUGACAUGACAAACUGAAAAGAUUUGACUAUAAAAUCAGUAAAAAUGGGCUCAAAUGAACAUUUUUCUCUGCUGUGGCAGUACAAAUGAAAGGAAAAACUUCGACUAAUGGUUUCUGAGAUUGAAGGACAAUACUUGCAGUAAUUGGAUCUGUACAUUACAAGUAUUUGUUGCAAAACUGUUCACUGAAUAUGGUUUGAUAGCUUGGCAGUUCAGGAGAACUUCAGUCAUAGCUGUGCUGAAAAGAUUUGAAAAACUGCUCCCAGAAACUUAAGUUGUAUGACUCCCUUUACAUUUGCCUAAUUUUUUUGUUUUUUUACUUUACUGUCACCAGUUGGAAGCUACAUGUAUUUCUUGUCCCAAACUCAAACAUGAGUUUUGGGUCUGCUCGUUGUUAAAUCCUGGUUGUUCCAACAAGCGUGCUCAAAACUCCCGUUUCAGUUUGGGAGCCAAAGACAUCUGCAAAACUUUCCACUGGUGACAGUAAAUUAAAGCAGUUUAGGCAAAUGUACUUGGAGUCAUGUGAUUCACAAAAAUGUUGCAUGGUAACAUAGAAGUUUCUGGGAACAGUUUUUCACAUCUUUUGAGCACGACCGGGGCUGAAAGUGGGUAAACUCUCUCCAUAGGUGCUAAUCUACAAAACCAUAUUUGGUGCACAGUUUUUAAGUCAGUACUUGUAAUGUACAGAUCCAAAUAUGGCAGUUGACAAAAAGUCAUAUUAAGACUGGUAUUGUCCUUUUAAUAAUUACUUUCAGUGCAGUUUAUAUUGCAUGGUGCUUUUCAUUAUACAGUCGGAGGUACCAGGCCUGAUUUCAGAUCAAAAUCACUGAGGGUGCUUCUGAAAAUAGAGGGGGUGCUCUGAAUAAAGUGGAGAUGUAUCGUAAUUACAAAUUUUUAAAAUAUAUUAAAUCAUGUUUAAAUGCUACUAAAACAACGUAAAUAACAGUUUUUUAUGUACAAAACAUUUAUUGCUUCAUUUUUUUCACAUGAUCUGUCGCUGAAAUUGUCAGCAAAAUGCUGCACCUGCAGAUUGGGACAUACUGAUUUGCACAAUCAUACACAUUUAUACGUUUUGAUGCACCAAUUGUGUGUUCACAAACUGCAGGGCUUCGAAUUGGAUACUUAAGUGUUCCAGUGGACAUAUUUGUACCCAACCCUCUGCGGUGUUUCAACUGUCAAAAAUACGGCCAUGGAUCUAAUGGCUGCAACAAAAAACAUACCUGUUGUAACUGUGGGGAGGUAGGCCAUGACAAAAGGAGCUGUGAAAAACCAUCAAAAUGUUGUAAUUGCUCAGGUGAACAUUCUGCUGCAUCAAAACAGUGUCCCAUGUGGAUCAAAGAAAAGGAAAUACAGAAGAUCAGGUGUACUAAGAGAAUCAGUUACCUCGAAGCAAAGAAAAUGGUGGAUGUCGUCCCUGUUUUUACGCUGAAUACAACCUUCGCCUCUGUUGCAAAAAAAGCUGUGAGAACAACAGACUGCCAGACAGAUAUCACCUGGAUGCAUAAAGACAAACCCCAAACCAUUAACCAUAGUAAUAUUCCCCCAAAGAAGAAGAACACAGGAACCCAGAGCGAAACUCUUCUAAAUGACAUUCACUCCAGUCAGAGCUCAAUAACAGCAAACCAAAAGGCAAAUAAAAACAAUGGUAAGGCAAGUUCUUCACAAUCAAAAGUAUCCCAAGAUGAAGCCUCAAAGACAAAACAAACAAAAGAUGUGGAAAUGAAAGAGAAUGAAUACCAUAGUAGAAGUCCAUCCCCUAAAGGCAGAAAACUGUCCCUAUUCUCCCUAAUAGGUAAUGGAAAAUUAUAUCAUCCAAUGGAACUGUCGUGGUAUCAGGGCAAAUUUUACGGAGCUGCAGCGUCUAACUGCAAUUAUUAACCCUCUAGCCAUAUGUCUUCAAGAAACACAAUUACCACCAGACGGUACUCUCUCUUUUAAAAUUUUUACAAGUUUUAACACUUUCGGUCCCAGUGAUAAGCAGGCUUCCGGUGGUACAACUGUUUUGAUAAGAAAAGAUGUGAUCCAUAGUCAAAUAAAUAUUAAUAGCAAACUACAGGCAACAGCAGUACGCCUGACUUUGCAGAAAACAAUUACAGUCGUCUCUAUCUACAUUCCUCCAAAUUUUUAACUUGACACACAUGGACCUAGAUCACCUUAUCGCUCAGCUCCCAUCUCCUUUUAUUCUCAUGGGACAUUUUAAUAGUCAUAACACUUUGUGGGGCAGUAAUCACUGUAACACAAAAGAAAAGAAGAUUUUAUAGAUAACCACACCUUAUGUCUUUUAAAUAAUGGAUUGAAUACCUAUUUACAUCCAGGACAUGGAACGUACUCUGCAAUCGACCUAACAAUUUGUCAGCCUGAAUUAUUUUUAGACCUCUCAUGGAAAGUUUGGCAUGACCUCUGUGGAAGUGAUCAUUUCCCAAUCAUUGUAACCAUCAAAGGCAGAGAGGAAGAAACAAAUGUACAAAGAUGGCAAAUUAAAAAAGCAAAUUGGUAUCAAUUUCAAACCCUCUGUCAUGAGAAACUGACACGGUUUCCAGAAGACAGCCCAGAUGCUAUGCAAAAUUUAACUGAAAUGCUCUUAUCUAUAGCUAAUGAUACAGUCCCAGGGGCAGUGGUGGCUCAGUGGUUAAGGCUCUGGGUUACUGAUCAGAAGGCUGGGGGUUCAAGCCCCAGCACCACCAAGAUGCCACUGUUGGGCCCUUGAGCAAGGCCCUUGACCCUAUCUGCUCCAGGGGUGUCAUAUUAUGGCUGACCCUGCACUGUGACCCCAGCCUAGCUGGGAUAUGUGAAAAAGAAGAAUUUCACUGUAUAUGUGCAAAAAAUGUAUAAUGUGUGAUAAAUAAAGAAAAUUAUUUAUUAUUAUUAAUUAAUUAAUUAUUAAUAAUUAUUAUUAGUCCCAAGAACAUCUUUAAACAUAAAACAUAGACGACAUCCAUGGUUUGAUGAUACAUGUAAGGAAGCUAUAAAAGAGAGGAAAAAAAACUGAAAGACUGUUCUUCAGACAUCCAUCAACUGAAAAUCUUAUAAAACUCAAGAUGAGUAGAGCACGAGCAAGACGAAUUAUAAAUGAAGUAAAAAAGGAAAGCUGGAGAAGAUUUGUUUCCAACGUGACAAGUACUCCAUCAUACAAAAUAUGGAACCUGAUAUGGAAAUGAAGGGAAAAAACAACGGUCCUCAAAUACAACACAUCAAACAGCACAGCACACUCUUGACUUCAAAACAAGAAAUUGCAAACAUUCUAGCAAAAACUUUCGAAAACAAUCGUCUAUUGAGAACUGCCUUCCUGCUUUUCGAACUUUUCUUGCUCAACAAGAAAAAGAAAAGAUUAACUUUGGCUCCAGUAACACAGAGCCAUACAACCAACCUUUUUCUAUGGAAGAACUACAGCGAGCCAUUAAAAAAAUCCCACGAAACAGCUGUUGGACCGGAUAAAAUCCACUAUCAAUUUUUAAUGAAUCUACCCCACCUUUCCCUGAAUAUGCUCCUUAGAAUUUUUAACUCCAUCUGGAUAUCGGGAAAAAUCCCAUCUGCCUGGCAUGAAGCAGAAAUAAUACCUAUUCCAAAGCCAGGAAAAGACCAUAACGACUCCAUAAACUACAGCCCUAUAGCUUUAACCAGUUGUUUAUGCAAAACAAUGGAGAGGAUGCUCAAUGAUCGCCUGGUCUGGAUACUGGAAUCUAAACACCACAUAAGUAACGCCCAGUGUGGUUUCAGGAAAGGUCGAAGCACUACAGAUCACCUUAUUUGUCUUGAAAGCUAUAUUCGUGACGCCUUUACCAGAAAAGAACACAUUGUAGCUGUCUUCUUUUUUCUUUUUUUAUUAUUUAUUUUAUUUAUUUUAUAUUAUUUUUUAUGGCUGAUAUAACUUCUUGUUUAUUUGUCACACUGGAUAUAAAAGGUCAAGUCGAGCACAUUGAAUUGUUGGAUACAAUACUUCCAAUUAACAUU